AAAGGGAGACCUAAUUCAGGUAUAAGACGAAAAAAAAGUAGUCCCUACCAAGAAUCAAUCCCAAAAGGUCGGAACGAGGUAUGAGGCUUUCAAACUAGGUUCUGGGUUCAAACAAGACCUGAAUCAGGAACAAGGGCUAUUAGCUCAGGUGGUUAGAGCGCACCCCUGAUAAGGGUGAGGUCCCUGGUUCGAGUCCAGGAUGGCCCACCUGCACAGGUGGCAAAAACAAGAGAAGCGAGGAAUCAGCACCUUAUCUUACUUAUAUAGUAAGAGAGAAUGCUGGCUCUGAGUAAAGAGUCCAGAGGAACCUUGAAAACUGCAUAGAGCUAGGUGAAAAAGCCAAAAAAGAAGACCGCAAG
rnacentral:tRNA from 1 species